rnacentral:rRNA from 1 species
AUUGAACGCUGGCGGCAUGCCUUACACAUGCAAGUCGAACGGUAACAGGUCUUCGGAUGCUGACGAGUGGCGAACGGGUGAGUAAUACAUCGGAACGUGCCUAGUAGUGGGGGAUAACUACUCGAAAGAGUGGCUAAUACCGUAUGAGAUCUACGGAUGAAAGCAGGGGAUCGCAAGACCUUGUGCUACUAGAGCGGCCGAUGGCAGAUUAGGUAGUUGGUGGGAUAAAAGCUUACCAAGCCGACGAUCUGUAGCUGGUCUGAGAGGACGAUCAGCCACACUGGGACUGAGACACGGCCCAGACUCCAACGGGAGGCAGCAGUGGGGAAUUUUGGACAAUGGGCGCAAGCCUGAUCCAGCAAUGCCGCGUGCAGGAUGAAGGCCUUCGGGUUGUAAACUGCUUUUGUACGGAACGAAAAGCCCCGGGUUAAUACCCUGGGGUCAUGACGGUACCGUAAGAAUAAGCACCGGCUAACUACGUGCCAGCCGCCGCGGUAA